GUUUCCCCUUUCUGGUAAAAUUAUAAUUUUCUUAUUAUCUCCUAAAUCACAUUAUGUCUUAUCAAAUUCACCAAUCAAUCUCGUAUUAUACCUAUUUAGCAUCUUAAGUGGAAAUUUUCGAUGAGGAGAAUUAAUACUGCGGCUACAAUCUAAAAUCCUUACACUACUUACCUGGUUUGUCGGUCGUCAUUCGAAGCGACAUCAGUUGGUACCAUAAAAUAGUCGAACUAAAUCUUGCAGGUUAUAGGUUUGAUGAGCAUGACCGGGACUCGGCCCACUUAAGGCUGCAAUUUGCUCGCUAUCCUGGUGCAAGGUCAGGAGGUGGGCAUCGUGGGAGACGUUAGAGUUACGAAUUUCUGCAGGACCCAAUCCGUUAAGGCGAUUUACGAUUAUGAGUAUCACAGCUUUGGAGUUCAAUGGAAAGGUCAAUGAUGAUUAGGAUCGGCUUGGAUUAUGUUGGUUUCCAUUAAUCGGAGAGUGAACUCUCGUGUCUAAGGCGUGUUAGCCUUUACGUUUUUCCUUCACUUUAGUUCCGUCUCUCAUAUUUCCUGGACUGCACAGAUGCUAUGUUUUAUUAGUAGAAGCAUAUUCAAAGGAUGCUUCGUUUAUUUCUUGGGAUUAAAAUGUCACCAUUUAGAUAUUUUGUAAUAAUCAGAUUUAUGGAUGCUACCUUUUUAUGCUGCCUAUUAAUUGAUGUCCAUUUGUUAUGGUGCAUUAUGGAUUGGUCCUUGGUCUUCAAA